rnacentral:rRNA from 1 species
GAUGAACGCUGGCGGCGUGCCUAAUACAUGCAAGUCGAGCGAACGGACGAGAAGCUUGCUUCUCUGAUGUUAGCGGCGGACGGGUGAGUAACACGUGGAUAACCUACCUAUAAGACUGGGAUAACUUCGGGAAACCGGAGCUAAUACCGGAUAAUAUUUUGAACCGCAUGGUUCAAAAGUGAAAGACGGUCUUGCUGUCACUUAUAGAUGGAUCCGCGCUGCAUUAGCUAGUUGGUAAGGUAACGGCUUACCAAGGCAACGAUGCAUAGCCGACCUGAGAGGGUGAUCGGCCACACUGGAACUGAGACACGGUCCAGACUCCUACGGGAGGCAGCAGUAGGGAAUCUUCCGCAAAGGGCGAAAGCCUGACGGAGCAACGCCGCGUGAGUGAUGAAGGUCUUCGGAUCGUAAAACUCUGUUAUUAGGGAAGAACAUAUGUGUAAGUAACUGUGCACAUCUUGACGGAACCUAAUCAGAAAGCCACGGCUAACUACGUG